rnacentral:rRNA from 1 species
AACGAACGCUGGCGGCAGGCCUAACACAUGCAAGUCGAGCGAGGACUUCGGUCCUAGCGGCGGACGGGUGAGUAACGCGUGGGAACGUGCCCCUUGGUACGGAAUAGCCCCGGGAAACUGGGAGUAAUACCGUAUGAGCUCUACGGAGGAAAGAUUUAUCGCCAAGGGAUCGGCCCGCGUUGGAUUAGGUAGUUGGGGGGGUAAUGGCCUACCAAGCCGACGAUCCAUAGCUGGUUUGAGAGGAUGAUCAGCCACACUGGGACUGAGACACGGCCCAGACUCCUACGGGAGGCAGCAGUGGGGAAUCUUAGACAAUGGGCGCAAGCCUGAUCUAGCCAUGCCGCGUGAGCGAUGAAGGCCUUAGGGUUGUAAAGCUCUUUCAGCUGGGAAGAUAAUGACUGUACCAGCAGAAGAAGCCCCGGCUAACUCUGUGCCAGCCGCCGCCGUAAUAC